rnacentral:rRNA from 1 species
UACAGAGGGGGCAAGCGUUGUUCGGAAUUACUGGGCGUAAAGCGCACGUAGGCGGACUUGUAAGUAGGGGGUGAAAUCCCCGGGCUCAACCCGGGAACUGCCUUCUAGACUGCAAGCCUGGAGGUCAGGAGAGGCGAGUGGAAUACCGAGUGUAGAGGUGAAAUUCGUAGAUAUUCGGUGGAACACCAGUGGCGAAGGCGACUCGCUGGACUGAUACUGACGCUGAGGUGCGAAAGCGUGGGGAGCAAACAGG